rnacentral:rRNA from 1 species
UACGAAGGGGGGCUAGCGUUGCUCGGAAUGACUGGGCGUAAAGGGCGCGUAGGCGGAUUGUACAGUCAGGCGUGAAAUUCCCGGGCUCAACCUGGGGGGCUGCGCUUGAGACGUGCGAUCUUGAGUGGGGGAAGAGGGUCGUGGAAUUCCCAGUGUAGAGGUGAAAUUCGUAGAUAUUGGGAAGAACACCGGUGGCGAAGGCGGCGACCUGGUCCUUGACUGACGCUGAGGCGCGAAAGCGUGGGGAGCAAACAGG